rnacentral:rRNA from 1 species
UCGAACGCGAAGGAAGUCUUCGGACUUCUGGAGAGUGGCGCACGGGUGAGUAACACGUGGGUAAUCUGCCUUUGGGUGGGGAAUAACGGUCCGAAAGGGUCGCUAAUACCGCAUAACGCAGCGACACCGCAUGGUGACAGUUGUUAAAGGGGGGGAUCGAAAGACCUCUCGCCUGAAGAGGAGCCCGCGUCCGAUUAGCUAGUUGGUGAGGUAAUGGCUCACCAAGGCAUCGAUCGGUAGCCGGCCUGAGAGGGCGGUCGGCCACACUGGCACUGAGACACGGGCCAGACUCCCACGGGAGGCAGCAGUGGGGAAUUUUGGGCAAUGGGCGCAAGCCUGACCCAGCAACGCCGCGUGAAGGAUGAAAUCCCUCUGGGAUGUAAACUUCGAAAGUCGGGAAAGAAAUCGCCAUGGAUAACACCCGUGGUGGAUGACGGUACCCGACGUAAGCCCCGGCUAACUACGUGCCAGCAGCCGCGGUAAUACGUAGGGGGCAAGCGUUGUUCGGAAUUACUGGGCGUAAAGGGCGCGUAGGCGGCAUGGCAAGUCGGGAGUGAAAGCCCGGGGCUCAACCCCGGAACUGCUUUCGAAACUGCCAAGCUAGAGUACGGAAGGGGCAACUGGAAUUCCCAGUGUAGCGGUGAAAUGCGUAGAUAUUGGGAAGAACACCGGAGGCGAAGGCGGGUUGCUGGGCCGAUACUGACGCUGAGGCGCGAAAGCCAGGGGAGCAAACGGGAUUAGAUACCCCGGUAGUCCUGGCCCUAAACGAUGGAUACUUGGUGUGUGGGGUUCUCAAAGUCCCCGCGUGCCGGAGCUAACGCGUUAAGUAU